rnacentral:rRNA from 1 species
CGGGCUUCGGCCUGGUGGCGAGUGGCGAACGGGUGAGUAAUAUAUCGGAACGUACCCAAGAGUGGGGGAUAACGUAGCGAAAGUUACGCUAAUACCGCAUACGAUCUAAGGAUGAAAGCAGGGGACCGCAAGGCCUUGUGCUCCUGGAGCGGCCGAUAUCUGAUUAGCUAGUUGGUAGGGUAAAGGCCUACCAAGGCGACGAUCAGUAGCUGGUCUGAGAGGACGACCAGCCACACUGGAACUGAGACACGGUCCAGACUCCUACGGGAGGCAGCAGUGGGGAAUUUUGGACAAUGGGCGCAAGCCUGAUCCAGCAAUGCCGCGUGAGUGAAGAAGGCCUUCGGGUUGUAAAGCUCUUUUGUCAGGGAAGAAACGGCAGGAGCUAAUAUCUCUUGCUAAUGACGGUACCUGAAGAAUAAGCACCGGCUAACUACGUGCCAGCAGCCGCGGUAAUACGUAGGGUGCAAGCGUUAAUCGGAAUUACUGGGCGUAAAGCGUGCGCAGGCGGUUUUGUAAGUCUGUCGUGAAAGCCCCGGGCUCAACCUGGGAAUUGCGAUGGAGACUGCAAGGCUUGAAUCUGGCAGAGGGGGGUAGAAUUCCACGUGGUAGCAGUGAAAUGCGUAGAGGAUGUGGAGGAACACCGGAUGGCGAAGGCAGCCCCCUGGGUCAAGAUUGACGCUCAUGCACGAAAGCGUGGGGAGCAAACAGGAUUAGAUA